GAUGAAGAACGCAGCGAAAUGCGAUAGGUAGUGUGAAUUGCAGAUGUAACGUGAAUCAUCGAAUCUUUGAACGCAAAUUGCACUCUCUGGUAUUCCGGGGAGUAUGCCUGUUUGAGGGUCGCCAAAUCAAAAUCGAAAUUCAUUUGCUUUUUUGUAAAUGUUUAUCGGAUUUGAGCCGUCUUUUUUUAUUUUAAUUAAAGUGGCUUAAAAUGUAUUUUUUUGGUAUCGAAAUACGUUAUUUUACGAUCAAAUUGAUUAAAAAAACAAACGUUUUCGAAUGCCGCCUUUUUAAUGUAAUACGUUUGACUGUGAUGGUUAAUCAUAGUUUCAUUCGUAUACGAUUUUUUAAUUUUUGACCUCAAAUCAGGUAAGAACACCCGCUGAACUUAAGCAUAUCAAUAAGCGGAGGA
rnacentral:misc_RNA from 1 species